CCCUUGACCACUGUUGACUAGUUGGGUUACAGAAUUUUGUGGUGCAGCCCCAUUAUAACUACUCCCUGCUUGUGUUCUUGUUGGGAUUUGACUAACGAAAGUCAUGUUGUUGAUUGGAACCUCCAUGUGAGCUAGGAAGGAAGGUAUUGCUUCACCUCCCAUUGCAUAACCAGCUGAGCGAGGGUGAUGCACCCCUCCUGCAACACUAGGCACCCAAGCUACAAGAUUACCAGAACGGGUGUAGAUUUCUCCCCCUCCAUCCACACCCUCUUUCCCCUAUCAAACCUUCGUACUUCCUCCAUGAACUCUUUUAGCAUCGCAAUAGCUUUCUUAUGUUGAUUCUCCAACUUUCUGUUUGAGGGAAAAGUUAGCCACUUCAAUUGUCAUCCUCCCAAACAUAGAUUUGAUCUCAUUCAUAUUUGUAGACAUUUCUAAUUAACCCAAAGAGCUCAAUGAAAGUGCUUUGAUACCAAAUGUUGCAGAUUACAAGAAAAUAGAGCUCAAGAACGGUAAAAAUCAAUGGAACAGUGCAAAAGUUAAAAAUUAAAGAAGAAGCUAACUAGUUACGACUAAGGAUAUUUCAUUCAAGAUAAUGUAGCAUACAACAACAACAAACCCAGUGUAUUCCCACUUAGUGGGGUCUGGGGGGGGGUAAGAUGUACGCAGUCCAUACCUCUACCUCUGAUGAAGUAGAAAGGCUGUUUCCGAAAGACCCCCGGCUCAAGUCACGAGAUAUCACACAAACACAUAGUACAGCACAGAAGCAGAUGACAUAACAUAGAUACGGCACCCAUAAGGAAUAUAAAACAGAGUAAAGCAGGAAUGCAGGAAUAUA
rnacentral:lncRNA from 1 species